rnacentral:lncRNA from 1 species
CCAGGGAAAUCUAGAGUUAUUCACCAUUAAGACAAAAUAGACAAAGUUGACAAGAUUCAAAAGUGGUUUGGGUAAAAGAGACUCAAUCCUAGAGGGGCAUUUGAUUCCAAAAGGGAAGAAGACGUACUUCAUCUGGAACAUCGUGAAGUCACAGAAGAACUUCACAAGUGUUCCGAUCGGAAGGGAGCCCUUUGAGUAAGUGAAAUGAAGCGUGAAUAACUGCCUAAUUAGUGGACAUGAAAACUGGACAGUCUCCAAAGUCAUCAGAGAUGACCACGCUUGCCAGGCAACUUACUAGACUAAGGGCACACAAUGAGCCUCACGUAAGCAUCAGGUACUACAUUUAGGAAGAGAGAUGGUGGUGACGUGCCCAUCAUGCAGGAAGCUUCUCCAAGGCUGGCGAGAGCAACUUGUCUGCUUUGAGAAAUGCAGAUCUAUCAGGAUCCAGAAUCGGACUCUGAAAAAGCUGUCAUUUCAUGUCUCUAAAACAGCCUUUGAUUUAAUGUACAAGAUGUCAAGAAGUAAAGGACAAUAAAAUAAAAACCAAAAAAGGAGAACUAUUUCAAUUAAGAAGCAUUCCUAUAUCAAUUCUUGGAAAUCACAUAAAAUAAAAGCUGUCAGAAUCAA